ensembl:snRNA U6atac minor spliceosomal RNA
GUGUUGUAUGAAGGGAUAGAAGGUCAGCACUCCCCUUGACAAGGAUGGGAGAGGCCUUCGGGCUUUACAACACACAUACAGUUAAGGCAUUGCCACUUACUUUGUGGCAUCUAGACACAGUUUUUG